rnacentral:rRNA from 1 species
AGCGAACGCUGGCGGCAGGCUUAACACAUGCAAGUCGAGCGGGCACCUUUCGGGGUGUCAGCGGCGGACGGGUGAGUAACGCGUGGGAACGUGCCCUCUGGUUCGGAAUAACUCAGGGAAACUUGAGCUAAUACCGGAUACGCCCUUUUGGGGAAAGGCUUGCUGCCGGAGGAUCGGCCCGCGUCUGAUUAGCUAGUUGGUGAGGUAACGGCUCACCAAGGCGACGAUCAGUAGCUGGUCUGAGAGGAUGAUCAGCCACACUGGGACUGAGACACGGCCCAGACUCCUACGGGAGGCAGCAGUGGGGAAUAUUGGACAAUGGGCGCAAGCCUGAUCCAGCCAUGCCGCGUGAGUAAUGAAGGCCUUAGGGUUGUAAAGCUCUUUUAUCCGGGACGAUAAUGACGGUACCGGAGGAAUAAGCCCCGGCUAACUUCGUG